GUUUGAACACCAUAGGCAUUCACUGUGCUGUUUUGCAGGGCGGAGAGGACGAAGUACAGUUGAUAACCGACAUCAGCAAAUGAAGCUACUGAGUGUAUUAUGGUGGAGAAGCAGUAGAUGACAUGCAAGCCAAGGUAUCAAGGCCGACAAUGGACGGAUGAAGGGCGACGUACACUUUGAGCAUUAUACAUCAUUGAGGACAUGGAUUACGGGAAAAUGCCUUCCGACCAAUCGUCUUGUGGGUGUGGUCGUGAAGUAAUCCACGUAUUACGGCAGACGUUCCUCGUGGUACUGCGAGCACUUCGUCACCCCAUUCGAACGCUUACGCACUGCCGGCGGUCGUGCCGACAUCCACCAUACAGCGAGGUCAGCGAGAGUUCGGCCGCAGAGGACCUUCCAGAUGAUGAAACUUUGAUAUCCACAGUCGAGGCAGACGAACAGAACAACAACUGUACCGCAGACUCCACGGUUGCAACCGAUGACAGACAGAAGCGAAGGGUGUCUAAGCGGAUGAAGAAGACGUUACGAAAGAGCGUGCAGCAUUAUGGCAACGGUGCCAUGUUGUGCGGCUCACCGUUUGGUUCUACGUUAUUAGCACGUGACAUUCAGCAGCGAAUCAGCUUGAAUCAUAAAUAUGUUGAGAUGCAAGAUGUCUACGUACCUUCUUAUGGAGUGUUUCUGUAAAGACUGACGUUUGCACCUUUUUCACAGGGAAUUCGUAAGCCAAAAUGCUACCAGAGUUGGCGAUUCUCGUCAGAUUUCAACCAAGAUAAGCCAAGAUACAAAUACAAGUAGUCACUUCACAAAUAAGUCUUCAUUUCGGGAUGAUUCGAGAUUAGGCAUGUCCAAAACGUCAACACUGCAUUACUGCUUUGCAUAAUACAAUUAAUUCGAUAGAAAAGAAAUAUCGGAUGUUGUUAAAAAAAAGUGUUGUUAAAGUAAUUCAAGAUUUCAAUAUCUCAUCGAGACCACUGUAAGUUGGGCAAGCCUGGAGCCCUCUUGCGUUCAUGUCAAUGCUACAUUAAUGGGCUAGAAUAGUUUACUCACAUAAACUGAGGACAGGACGCGAUCCUUUGAAACUGUUCGGAAAGGUGUACAUGUAAACAAAGCGUAACGUCAUCAGGUUAUGAAUCUGUUGCUUUCUUAACAAUGACUUAUCUUCAACACUCAUAUUAAUUUAUGCCGCUGGUUGCAACUCUCCCGGCGUUCAUAAUCAAUUGCAUCUCGUACACUAUUUUUAUGUGAUUGGUUCCCUCCGUAUUAUAACAAACCAAAUCAGCUACUGGGAACUACUGAUGAAAAUAUGACCAAGGGCCCGGUUCCAAACCAUCCGUCGUUGGUUGAACUAUGAUUACUGAAGUUGUCACUUGAACCUGCCCGGUGAUGCUGUCACAAGUUUGUCUCCUUUGAGCAGAAUGCUAUACCAUUAUGGCUCGUUUAAUGUUAAGCAAUAAUAAUUGACAUUAGUUGCGGGAUGUUCAUCUCUGCUAGUUGAAUAUCCUUGUUCGAUUAAUGUUGGAGAAUGUACUGGCGGAAAGGGACAUCCACUCCGAAAUGAACACUAACAGAAAAAGGCGACUUUGGGAUCAUUCCUUUUUAGUGGCGUAGCCAGGCUCUUCCCAAAUGGGGGCAAGGGGGAAGAGUUCCCAGGGGAGGGGUAUUUCCCCCCUCCCCUUUAAAAAUAUGUAAAACGCCUUAAGGAUUUCGUAUAAGCCUCGCACUUCUGAAGCGCAAACAAGUUUCAAUGAAUUGAAGAAAUUUAAUUGUCACACAUGUGCCCUCCCUGUCCCUCCAAAAUUCCCCGAAAUUUGCUGCCGAAUUCGUUUCUGGUAGCAUGUAUCAUUAACAUAAAUCUACUGAAGUUGUCAGGUGUAGCCAAACCUUAAGGACCUUACCUUUUUAAAUUGAUUGUUUACAGACUUGCAUGAAACUAUACAAUGAAUUUCUCACUGACCCCUUCCUACGUGACAAGUCAUGCAGUUGUGAGGGCGCUAUUCCAAAGUAGUGUGAGAAACAGUUUUUCGUAUCAUACACUGUACUGAUGGCAUAGACGGCAACUUGUUUGCGCAAUUAGCCCAUUAGAAUCCCUAAAACUUCCUAUCCGCAUUUGACGAAUUUACUCCGAGUUAACACCCCCAUCCACUCAAUGCAGCUCCAUUUUCUGACGCAGAUUGCCCUGAUUUGUGGCUAGAGUUUGGAAUGUUCCGUCUGGUUUAAUGCUUUACAAAACAAAAACAAAAAAUUGUUAUAUUCAAGGGUUUCUGCCUUCAAUUCUUAUUUUUUGCCGAUGAUUUGCAAUCACUGUAACACUUUGCGCAUUAAAUGAAGGGGGAAACAUGACACUAAGUAGGGCUUCUACACUUCAGCGGCGGCCAAAUUUUACUGUACAAAGGUAUUUUUAAUAGAAUUCGUUUAAUUAUAAUCGCUGUAUUCCCCAAUCACAUGUCAAUAAACUAAAUUGAAUGCUAUUUUUGGUAAAUUGAAUGAUGAUCUGAAAUAAACACUCCAGUAAGCUUCAGAACGGAUGUUCCAAUA
rnacentral:misc_RNA from 1 species